rnacentral:rRNA from 1 species
GUUUGAUCCUGGCUCAGGAUGAACGCUGGCGGCGUGCUUAACACAUGCAAGUCGAACGAACCUUCGGGUUAGUGGCGGACGGGUGAGUAACGCGUGAGAAUCUGCCCUCAGGAGGGGGAUAACGGCUGGAAACGGCCGCUAAUACCCCAUAUGCCGAGAGGUGAAAUGAAUUUCGCCUGAGGAUGAGCUCGCGUCUGAUUAGCUAGUUGGUGUGGUAAAGGCUCACCAAGGCAUCGAUCAGUAGCUGGUCUGAGAGGAUGAUCAGCCACACUGGGACUGAGACACGGCCCAGACUCCUACGGGAGGCAGCAGUGGGGAAUUUUCCGCAAUGGGCGCAAGCCUGACGGAGCAACGCCGCGUGAGGGAUGAAGGCCUCUGGGCUGUAAACCUCUUCUAUCAAGGAAGAAGAUCUGACGGUACUUGAUGAAUAAGCCACGGCUAAUUCCGUGCCAGCAGCCGCGGUAAUACGGGAGUGGCAAGCGUUAUCCGGAAUUAUUGGGCGUAAAGCGUCCGCAGGCGGUCUUGAAAGUCUGUUGUUAAAGCGUGGAGCUCAACUCCAUUUCAGCAAUGGAAACUAGAAGACUAGAGUGUGGUAGGGGCAGAGGGAAUUCCCGGUGUAGCGGUGAAAUGCGUAGAUAUCGGGAAGAACACCAGUGGCGAAGGCGCUCUGCUGGGCCAUAACUGACGCUCAUGGACGAAAGCCAGGGGAGCGAAAGGGAUUAGAUACCCCUGUAGUCCUGGCCGUAAACGAUGAACACUAGGUGUCGGGGGAAUCGACCCCCUCGGUGUCGUAGCCAACGCGUUAAGUGUUCCGCCUGGGGAGUACGCACGCAAGUGUGAAACUCAAAGGAAUUGACGGGGGCCCGCACAAGCGGUGGAGUAUGUGGUUUAAUUCGAUGCAACGCGAAGAACCUUACCAGGGUUUGACAUCCUGCGAAUCCCUUGGAAACUUGGGAGUGCCUUCGGGAGCGCAGUGACAGGUGGUGCAUGGCUGUCGUCAGCUCGUGUCGUGAGAUGUUGGGUUAAGUCCCGCAACGAGCGCAACCCACGUCUUUAGUUGCCAGCAUUAAGUUGGGCACUCUAGAGAGACUGCCGGUGAUAAACCGGAGGAAGGUGUGGAUGACGUCAAGUCAUCAUGCCCCUUACAUCCUGGGCUACACACGUACUACAAUGCUACGGACAAAGGGCAGCAAACUCGCGAGAGCUAGCAAAUCCCAUAAACCGUGGCUCAGUUCAGAUCGUAGGCUGCAACUCGCCUACGUGAAGGAGGAAUCGCUAGUAAUCGCAGGUCAGCAUACUGCGGUGAAUACGUUCCCGGGCCUUGUGC